rnacentral:misc_RNA from 1 species
GGAAGUGAAAGUCGUAACAAGGUUUCCGUAGGUGAACCUGCGGAAGGAUCAUUAAAAAAAGAGAAACGUCCCGUUCUUUUUCAUAAGAAUGGGUUCUAUUCCCUUAAACCGUGUCUACAUACCUUUGUUGCUUUGGCAGGCCGCCUUCGGGCGUCGGCCCCGGCUGAUAGUGCCUGCCAGAGGACCCAAACUCUAUGUUUAGUGAUGUCUGAGUACUAUAUAAUAUUUAAAACUUUCAACAACGGAUCUCUUGGUUCUG